GCCGCUGGAGGCUGUGGUUCCUGGGAGCUCAAGUGCAGCCCAGUGGUGAAAUUCAUCUAGCGCUGUAAGGUUGUACGUGGAGAAGGGGACCAAGAGGAGGAGGCAUCCUGGACGUCACCAGGUGCCCCAUCCGCGGCGAGGGAAACCUGGACCCGACUCUGUGUCAUUCAGAACACAUCGGGGACUCCGGUGCCCACGUCCCUGCCCGCUGCAUGCUUGGAAAGCACUGCCUCUGCCGGAAGCCGAGGCGAGAAGGUCCUCAAAGCAGACACCGGACCCCCGAGUAGCUCCGGUCUCCACGGGCCACCCCGGGUGCUGUGGGGCGAGGCCCACCCGCGCGCCGUACCGCGCAUGCGUCAGUCGGCUGAGCAGGAGGCCGCCCGCGCAGCCUCGCUCCCGCCCGGUCGCCGUGGCAACGGGCUCGCGGGGGGAGGGGCCGCGCCGCGGCGGCUGCUAUUUCUGCCGCUUCCUGUUCCUUGCGGCCACGUCGCCAUGGCAACGGAGUUACUCAGCUCGGCCGCCUCUCGGCUCGGCUGGCGCGCGUGACCCGGGCCGCUCGCGCCCCCUCGUCCCCCU
rnacentral:lncRNA from 1 species